UACGUAGGGUGCAAGCGUUAAUCGGAAUUACUGGGCGUAAAGCGUGCGCAGGCGGUUUUGUAAGUCUGUCGUGAAAUCCCCGGGCUCAACCUGGGAAUUGCGAUGGAGACUGCAAGGCUAGAAUCUGGCAGAGGGGGGUAGAAUUCCACGUGUAGCAGUGAAAUGCGUAGAGAUGUGGAGGAACACCGAUGGCGAAGGCAGCAUCCUGGACCGAUAUUGACGCUGAUGCGCGAAAGCCAGGGAGGCAAACGGG
rnacentral:rRNA from 1 species